GCUGGGCACCGUGGUGCACGCCUGUCAUCCCAGCAGCUCAGGAGGCUGAGGCAGGAGGAUCACGAGUUCAAAGCCAGCCUCGGCCACAGCGAGGCCCUAAGCAACUCAGUGAGACCCUGUCUCUA
rnacentral:sRNA from 1 species